UACAGAGGUCCCAAGCGUUGUUCGGAUUCACUGGGCGUAAAGGGUGCGUAGGCGGUGAGGUGAGUUUGAUGUGAAAUCUACGGGCUCAACCCGGAAAUGGCAUUGAAUACUAUCUCGCUAGAGAGUCGGAGGGGGGACUGGAAUACUUGGUGUAGCAGUGAAAUGCGUAGAUAUCAAGUGGAACACCAGUGGCGAAGGCGAGUCCCUGGACGACUUCUGACACUGAGGCACGAAAGCUAGGGGAGCAAACAGG
rnacentral:rRNA from 1 species